GACGAACGCUGGCGGCGUGCCUAAUACAUGCAAGUAGAACGCACAGUUUAUACCGUAGCUUGCUACACCAUAGACUGUGAGUUGCGAACGGGUGAGUAACGCGUAGGUAACCUGCCUGGUAGCGGGGGAUAACUAUUGGAAACGAUAGCUAAUACCGCAUAAUAUUAAUUAUUGCAUGAUAAUUAAUUGAAAGGUGCAAUUGCACCACUACCAGAUGGGCCUGCGUUGUAUUAGCUAGUAGGUGAGGUAACGGCUCACCUAGGCGACGAUACAUAGCCGACCUGAGAGGGUGAUCGGCCACACUGGGACUGGGACACGGCCCAGACUCCUACGGGAGGCAGCAGUAGGGAAUCUUCGGCAAUAGACGAAAGUCUGACCGAGCAACGCCGCGUGAGUGAAGAAGGUUUUCGGAUCGUAAAGCUCUGUUGUAAGAGAAGAACGGGGGUGAGAGUGGAAAGUUCACACUGUGACGGUAUCUUACCAGAAAGGGACGGCUAACUACGUG
rnacentral:rRNA from 1 species